GGAGGGGAAAGUGAUCUCUGACCGCGUGCCUGUUGAAGAAUGAGCCGGCGACUCAUAGGCAGUGGCUUGGUUAAGGGAACGGAACCCACCGGAGCCGUAGCGAAAGCGAGUCUGUGUAGGGCGAUUGUCACUGCUUAUGGACCCGAACCUGGGUGAUCUAUCCAUGACCAGGAUGAAGCUUGGAUGAAACUAAGCAGAGGUCCGAACCGACUGAUGUUGAAGAAUCAGCGGAUGAGUUG
rnacentral:ncRNA from 1 species